rnacentral:rRNA from 1 species
ACGAACGCUGGCGGCGUGCCUAAUACAUGCAAGUCGAGCGGAAUGAUGAAGAAGCUUGCUUCUUCUGAUUUUAGCGGCGGACGGGUGAGUAACACGUGGGCAACCCACCUUGUAGAUUGGGAUAACUCCGGGAAACCGGGGCUAAUACCGAAUAAUCCAUUUUGCUUCAUGGCGAGAUGUUAAAAGGCGGCUUCGGCUGUCACUACGAGAUGGGCCCGCGGCGCAUUAGCUAGUUGGUAGGGUAAUGGCCUACCAAGGCGACGAUGCGUAGCCGACCUGAGAGGGUGAUCGGCCACACUGGGACUGAGACACGGCCCAGACUCCUACGGGAGGCAGCAGUAGGGAAUCUUCCACAAUGGACGAAAGUCUGAUGGAGCAACGCCGCGUGAGUGAAGAAGGUUUUCGGAUCGUAAAACUCUGUUGUAAGGGAAGAACACGUACGAGAGUAACUGCUCGUACCUUGACGGUACCUUAUUAGAAAGCCACGGCUAACUACGUG